rnacentral:rRNA from 1 species
UGGGGAAUAUUGCACAAUGGGCGCAAGCCUGAUGCAGCCAUGCCGCGUGUAUGAAGAAGGCCUUCGGGUUGUAAAGUACUUUCAGUCGGGAGGAAGGUGGUAAGGUUAAUAACCUUGGCAAUUGACGUUACCGACAGAAGAAGCACCGGCUAACUCCGUGCCAGCAGCCGCGGUAAUACGGAGGGUGCAAGCGUUUAUCGGAAUUACUGGGCGUAAAGCGCACGCAGGCGGUUGAUUGAGUCAGAUGUGAAAUCCCCGGGCUUAACCCGGGAAUUGCAUCUGAUACUGGUCAGCUAGAGUCUUGUAGAGGGGGGUAGAAUUCCAUGUGUAGCGGUGAAAUGCGUAGAGAUGUGGAGGAAUACCGGUGGCGAAGGCGGCCCCCUGGACAAAGACUGACGCUCAGGUGCGAAAGCGUGGGGAGCAAACAGG